CGGUGACACGAUCUAGGCAACAAGGUAAGCUCUCCUCGGCCGCGUCCACGCCCCGCCGGGCGCCGGUCGCAAUCCACCGUGACCACGUUGCUCCCAGUGUCCUCUCUCUCCCGCAUCAUCUCCAUUUAAUCUUACAUGGAUGCGGAGAGAGUGGUGGAAGAGGUCAGGAGGUAGUCUUCUCUGCAACAAGAUCUGAAGAAGUGCGGGCAAGGAGCGUGGUCCCCGGCGAAUCCAAGUCCGUUGAGGCCUUAAGCAGUAACGAAAUCCAUCUAUUUCUAGAACUUCAUCUAUUAUUUCUAUAUUGCAGUGUGCAAGGCAAUGUUGUUUGUGUAUGCACGUAACAAGAGUGAAACUAAGGGGAGCAGCUCUGGUGCGACCGUGAAGUUGGCAGCACAGACGCAUUUCAUUGAGCACAUCUUUAGCGUUCUAGAUUUCUUGAGUGUUCUAUAUUGUGGCCAGACCAACAAGCUCUUUUCUGCUUCUAAAAGGUGGGUUUUCCAUGAGGAGAUCACUAUUAGAAGCUAAUUCAGAGGAUUUCAGAGCAGAUUUUGGAUGCCGGAGGAUGGCGAGAGUGACACAUUUCAGUAAUCCCCUAAGGUUGCUGAAUUUUGUUGGUAGCUUUAUCUUUUCCUGUGUAAUCUCCCACCAACGCUGAGAGCUCUACUCUAUGUAGUUCCUCCUUCCAAUGUAUAACGUGAGUUGAAUGGGUUGGAUUUAAGUAUAAGUGGAAUAAAUUGUUAGGGCUUAUA